UACAGAGGCCCCCAAGCGUUUGUUCGGAUUCAUUGGGCGUAAAGGGUGCGUAGGUGGCGUCGUAAGUCGGGUGUGAAAUUUCGGAGCUCAACUCCGAAACUGCAUUCGAUACUGCGGUGCUUGAGGACUGGAGAGGAGACUGGAAUUUACGGUGUAGCAGUGAAAUGCGUAGAGAUCGUAAGGAAGACCAGUGGCGAAGGCGGGUCGUCCUGGACAGUUCCUGACACUGAGGCACGAAGGCCAGGGGAGCAAACGGG
rnacentral:rRNA from 1 species